rnacentral:misc_RNA from 1 species
GUGAAUCAUCGAAUCUUUGAACGCAAAUUGCACUCUCUGGUAUUCCUGAGAGUAUGCCUGUUUGAGUGUCAGUUUAAAUAAAAAUCGGAGUGUUUGCUCCCUUUCAUGGUGACGCACCGGAUUUGAGUCGUCUUGCCUUCGGUUAAGUGACCUAAAAUUUUGCAUGAUUUUUUUCUAACGUAUUUAAAUUAUUUUACGUACAUUUGCGAUAUCGAAUACAAGGUGUGGUCAUCCUCAUGUUUCGCGCCUAUAAUUUUUC